UCUUGUCCACCUGGAUUCCCAAAAAUUGCAUUAUUACCGUGGGAAUUACAUGACUUUUAAGAAGAUGUACCAGCAGAAGCAGAAAGAGCUGAUGAAACAAUUUGAGAAACAGGAGAAGAAACUGCGCGACCUCAAAGCCGGAGGCAAAUCCACCAAACAGGCGG